CCUGAAUCAAAAGCAGAGCAAAAAGAGAAAAAGCAAAGCAAAGGUAAGAACAAAGAGAAGCAGCAGCAGCAGCAACAACAACAAGGUGACCAAGAAAGCAGUGAUGAAGGCAACAAGAACCCAGCAGAAAAAGAAACAGUGAAAGAACCUUCCAAAAGCAAAGAAAAUGGAAAUGGCGGCGCUGGCACUAGCAAGAAUGUUGAAAACAAUGGUGCUGUUCAUCAUGUUAUCAAAGUUAAUGAGGUUGGUGGGCAAAUAGCCAAGGAGUCAAAGCCUGAUCAGGUGAAGCAAACUGUGACCUUCGCGGCCGGUGGCCAGUCGCCGGUUGGUGACAAGAAAGCUGGUGAUUAAAACCAAAAAAAGAAAAGAAAAAAAAGGUGUAAUCGUAUUAACAAUAUUUGAUAGGAAAAUCUUUUAUACUAAUAAACUGUGCUGUCUAUUGGUAUAAUUAGAACCAAAUACAUGUAAUCUUAGCUAGCAAAAAGGAAUUAAGCGCAAAAGGCAUCAAAUGCUAAAAUCAUAGGUGUCCCUUAUAAAUUAUAAUAACAGGAAAGUAGACUUAAAAAAUUUAUAUUUAAAAAACAAUUUCAGUUCAUAAAAGCAGGUACUAUGCCCACCCCACCAAGCAUCAAGCACCAAACCCAAGGACCUACUUGAUUUUUCCUCUCUCUCUUCCCCUCCCACUUUAAGCCUUCAGUUUCAUUGCUUCUUCUUAAGCAUUUGAACACUUUCCUUCUCCCUAUUCCUCUCAGUUAGAAUCCUUCGGUUUUGAGUUCCCAACCUUUUUAUCAACAACCCCUUUGGCCUUUUGCGUAUUCUCUCUUUCAGGAACCCACCAAACUUCUUUUUUUUUCUUUUUUUCUUUGUAGUAAUGGCAACAGCAGCACCAGAGGCUAAAGCUGAAACUAAACCUGAAUCUAAACCAGAAGCUAAUAAGGAGAAAGAAGCUGGAGAAAAUCAAGAACAACUUAAGUGUAAGGUAACAAUUGAACCAAAUCAUACUUUGCAUGGUUCACGUUGUAACUUGAUGGUGUCAUUUUUGUGUGUGUGUGUUUCUUCUGUUUUUUCACUUGUUUCCUCUUUUUUCAGACAUGGGUGUUGAGAGUCUCCAUCCACUGUGAAGGCUGCAAAAGGAAAGUACACAAGAUCCUAACAAACAUUGAUGGUAUGUGUUAAUACUCACUGAACCCACCGGAUUUCUUUGAGAAAUUUUCUUUUUUAAGAGGAAUUUCUUUAAUUUUUAGUCAUAUUGUUGCUAGAAUAUUCAAUUUUUAAAUUAAGUUUUUACUACUGAUCUUUUCUUUUCUUUUCUUUUUGUCUUUGUGUUAUAUACCUAGUUCUAUACUCUAUCGUUAGUUCUGUACUCUUUCAGCUCAAAACUCAAAGCUUCAAUUUUUCUCAACUGGGUUUUGUUCAUUUUUGGUAAUUUUCCCUCCAUUUUUUCUUCUCAAGCUUCUUGACUCGGCAUCUAAUAGUUCAUAAUUUUCUCAUGCAUCCAGAUUCUGAUUUCAUUUCCCUCAAAAUGUCAGCUUUUUAAAUUCUUGACCAGUUUGCUAAUUUGGUUCUAAUAUUUAUUUCGCAGGUGUUUAUACCACAAAAAUUGAUUUGAGGCAACACAAAGUGGUAGUAAAAGGAGAUGUAGCUGCUGAAACUUUGAUCAGGAAACUGGAAAAGAAUGGGAAGCAUGCUGAGUUAUGGCCUGAAUCAAAAGCAGAGCAAAAAGAGAAAAAGCAAAGCAAAGGUAAGAACAAAGAGAAGCAGCAGCAGCAGCAACAACAACAAGGUGACCAAGAAAGCAGUGAUGAAGGCAACAAGAACCCAGCAGAAAAAGAAACAGUGAAAGAACCUUCCAAAAGCAAAGAAAAUGGAAAUGGCGGCGCUGGCACUAGCAAGAAUGUUGAAAACAAUGGUGCUGUUCAUCAUGUUAUCAAAGUUAAUGAGGUUGGUGGGCAAAUAGCCAAGGAGUCAAAGCCUGAUCAGGUGAAGCAAACUGUG
rnacentral:lncRNA from 1 species